ACCAAAACUCAUCGAGAGAGUAUCACACUAUUCAUUUCACCGUAAACCCUAGCAAAAACCUCUCCGCUUGCUCUCUCUUUCUCUCUUCACUUCUCCUUGCAGCACAGUAGUAGAACAAAUGGCUUGGCGCAGUGCAGGAUCCGCUGCUCGCUCUUUCGUCUCCGCCACCGCUAGAUCACCGUCUCUCCGUUCUCCGUCGAGGGCGCUCCCCCGUCUCCGUCCUCCUCCAUCCUCCCGUCGCUUCACCUUUUCAUCACCUUCCAGGAAUCUAGGAGCACUUGGUUGUACACAGUCGUUCUUGCCUCUGUACAGUGUUGUGGCUGCUUCUCAACUCACAUCUCACCUUAAUGUUAAUUUGAGGGCUUUCUGCGAGCUGUCUAACGGUACCUUCCAACGCACUUGUCCGGAUCGCUAGUAGUCCUCUUUGAAUUGGAAAAGAUGGGUGAUGCACUUGGAUUUUACAGUUGCGGACAAGAGAGUACUGCUGCAUUUGUACUUGAAGAGACAAAAGAGUGGCAUGUCACAGUGCGUGCAUCAGUACUUUGAAGGGAUGUGAUAUCGAAAAACGUGGGGUUACCUCAGAAAUGAAACUUAGUUGUUGUGUUACUCUUUUUUAGAAGCUUUAGUUCCACAAUGUGUGGAUUAUUAGCUGUAGAGCUUUUCGUUUGCUUGGCACAAUUUUUUUUGUUUUAGAAAAAAUGCAUAUCAGCCAGCAUUAAUAAGUGGAUUGGUCAGAACUAAAACAAUGUUGUUCCCGACUCAUCAUUUUUUUCCAGUCUCGAACUGUAAUCUUGCUGCAAUUUGCCACA